rnacentral:rRNA from 1 species
AUGAUUCACUACCCUUAUAAAAAAUCAAUUACACCAGAGCGUUUCCGAGGGCAAAUCCACUUUGAAUUUGAUAAAUGUAUUGCUUGUGAAGUAUGUGUUCGCGCAUGUAUGAUAGAUUUACCCGUUGUGGAUUGGAGAUUUGAAAAGGAUAUUAAAAGAAAACAAUUGCUUAAUUAUAGUAUUGAUUUCGGAGUUUGUAUAUUUUGUGGCAAUUGUGUUGAGUACUGUCAAACAAGCUGUUUAUCAGUGACUGAAGAAUAUGAACUUUCUACCUAUGAUUGUCAUGAAUUGAAUUACAAUCAAAUUGCUUUAAGUCGGUUACCAAUCUCCAUAAUGGGAGAUUACACAAUUCAAACAAUUAGGAAUUUGUCUGAAAGUAAAAUAAACAAAGAAAAUCUUCGAAUUCAAGAACGAUUACUAAUUACUAAACUUUGA